GUGUGUGUGUGUGUGUGUGUGUGUGUGUGAUGAUAGAUUUGGAGGGCACCAUAUGCUGUGCGAACAUAUUUUGUUGUUUUUGUCACUUCCUCUCUGCAGGAUAACAGUUCUUUUUUGUUGAGGUUGUAAAGGAGUAACACCUAAUGCUAAGGUGUGUGGUGAAUGUGGAAAGGUGUGAGGGUUUCAUUUAGGCAGUUUUUUUGAUCAAUUUUGUGUAUGAUGUUCUGGUGAAAGUUGUUUGCUCUGGCUUAAGCCUUUUGUGUCGCUGUGACAAUCUUGCAAGAGGUGCAAAGGCUUGUUCUCACCUUCGCAGCGAUGUAUCUGGCGGCACAAAUCGUGAGUGAAAUCAUGAUUUUAGUUUGUGAGAAAACAUGUUGGUGUCGGCAGGGAAGCAGGAUGUGUGUCAAGGACCUCGAAGAGUUCAUGAAUAUGCAAAUGUCAUAGUAUCAAAGCAAUGCUCAAUUGUUAAUGACAAAUCUCAGGAUUUUGUGAAACAGCUCGAUUUUUCAACUUGACUUCUAGUUGAUGUUCAGUUACCUGUAAAUGGUCCACGUGGAGAGCUCCACAAAGCAGCGUAGCGUUUGACCACACCAUGUGCGGCCCCUUAGGAAUGCAAGCAUCUUGGAGUGCAAGCCGCAACAGGUUUAACCCACAUCGCCCUGUCAUCUGUGUCCCUGUCACAGGAGAACAAAGAGGGAUGACGAAAGCAACAACGGACAUUGAUGCAUCGUUAAGAAAUGCAAUUAAGAAUGUUUCAUUUCUGUUUUUUUUUUUUUUUUUUUUUUUAAAUCUGAUGUAAGGACAUAAAUCGGAGUGUGCAUUUCAGCUAGCAUUAAAGAUCAUCCGUCACAUUUGUUUAGUCACAGAAAGUGCUGUGCAUGCAGAUCUGAGCACAAGCUUUGGUGUAAUUUAAUCAUUUUGAGCUCUUAAUUACACACCCAUACUGAUCUGAUGGAACCCCAUGUCACUGUGUGCAUUAUUUGUUAUUGAAAUGGCUCGAGUACAUUGAGCUCAGCAGCAGCAGGUCAGCGAGCUUUAAUUACAGUAUGAAUUAUUAUGAGUAUUAUUUAUUAGAUUGCCAAUGUGAGCACAGAUGUACCAUGAUAAACACCUAGUAUAUGCCGUAUUGCUGGUACAUCUGGUACCUCUGGUACAUCUACCAUAUACAGUGCCCUCCCCUGAUAUUGGCACCUUAUAAGCAAAGAAGGCUGUGACAAAUUGUCUUUAUUGUUUAACCUUUUAUUUAAAAAAAAAUCCCAAAAUUCUCUGCUCUCAUGGAUAUCAGACAAUUGCAAACAAAAAAACAGGUUAUUUAAAAAAAAAAAUAAAUCUUUGUUAAAUAUAGGUGUGCAACAAUUAUUGGCACUCUUUUAGUCAGUACUUUGUGCUAUGUCCAUUUGCCAAGAUAACAGCUCUGAGUCUUCUCCUAUAAUGCCUGGUGAGGUUGGAGAAUACAUGGCAAGAGAUCUGAGACCGUUCAUCCACACAGAAUCUCUCCAGAUCCUUCACAUUUCGAGGUGACACUGGAGUACUCUCCUCUUCAGUUCACCCCACGGGUUUUCAAUGGGUUUCAAGUCAGGGGACUGGGAUGGCCAUGGCAGGAUCUUGAUUUUCUGGUCAGUAAACCAUUUUUGUGUUGAUUUUGAUGUAUGUUUUGGAUCAUUGUCCUACUGAAAGAUCCAACCAUGGCCCAUUUUAAGCUUUCUGACAGAUGCAGUUAGGUUUUCAUUUAAUAUCUGUUGAUAUUUGAUAGAGUCCAUGAUGCCAUGUAUCCUAACAAAAUGUCCAGGUCCUCUGGCAGAAAAACAGCCCCGAAACAUUAGAGCCACCACCAUAUUUAACCGUGGGCAUGAGGUACUUUCCCAUAUGGCUACCUCUCCGUGUGCACAAAAACCACCUCUGGUGUUUAUUACCAAAAAGCUCUAUUUUGGUUUCAUCUGACCAUAGAACCUGAUCCCAUUUGAAGUUCCAGUAGUGUCUGGCAAACUGAAGACGCUCUUGAGUUUGUUUUUGGAUGAGCGUAUCGGCUUUUUUCUUGAAACCCUUCCAAACAACUUGUGGUGAUGUAGGUUACUUCAGAUUGUAGUUUUGGAGACGUUCUGACCCCAAGACACAACUAACUUCUGCAAUUCUCCAGCUGUGAUCCUUGGAGAUUUUUUUUUAUAUGUAACAUCUGUUAUUUCACAUACUGUAUCUAUUAUUUCCUCUUAUAAGAUUAAAAUAAACCAUUCAAUUAAAGAUUAUUAAACCUAUUUCUAGACAUUUUUCAAAUGAAUUUCAAGCUUGAAAUAGUCUUCUUCUGUUGGCAGAUGACUGAGCUAAUUUGCUAAGCAAUUAUUUGUAGAAAGAAGCAAAGUGAUCUGCCAAUAGAAUAAGAAAUGUAAAAAAUUUAUAUUAGUAAAAACAUUUUUAAAUAAUAUAAUAUUUGGUUCAGGGUAAUCUUAUAACAGGAACCACUAGAUAAAUUUGAAUAAAUUUUCAAUUGCUGUAAUUUUUUGUAGACUGGUUGUAAUUUUUAAGUCUUAUGUAAAAACGGUACAGUAUACACUUCAACUGCAGAUGUCCGUAUGUUAAGCAUAUAUACAGUAGAGCUAUACAUUAAGUAUGGUCUGAUAUUAAUUUUCAUAACAAGCCAAUUCCCUAACCUCAACCUCUUCUUUACAGAAUGUAUGCUAUAAAGGAAGUGUGACUUACAUAACACAGUGACCAGAAUUUAGGGCGAUGUUUUAUUGUCCAGAAAAUAUGGACUUAAAAUACAUAUGUAUGUAUAUAAUUACAUGUUCCUAAAGAAAAUAAUUUAACAUGUUUUGGACUGAGAAUGUAUUUUGACUUGCUGUUUCAGGAAAUGGUACUUUUAUCCAAAGAGUCGGAUCAUUUUUGUUUGUAAAACCAGGCAAAAUAGCAUUGGGUUAUUCCAACAUAACUGCCUUCCUGACAUUCUCUUGAAAUUCAGACAACAGUGUGUGUGUGUGUGAGUGUGACCUGUACACCUGUGGAGGCCUCACCCUCCGGAUCAAACAAAGGCCUGUAGACUGUGCAGUCACUCAUGGGCAUGUUGCUCAAAGUCCACACACACACACACAUACACACACACACACACACACACACACACACACACACACACACACACACACACACACACCUACCCAUACACAUAUACACCGACAGGUUAGUCGGGGAAGCUCAGGGCAGAGAGGUGCGGCCUUCGGAUUAGUCAAAGUGACACGGGUGCUGGACGGUCUCAGCUCUGCUGAGCUUGCUGUCUCUGUGCCGGUGUUGAGAUGUGGCCCAGAAAAGACAAAGGGCACCUGGGAAAGUUUGGUUUGGGGCUAUCUCCAUUCUCACAUUCUCACAUUACAUUAUGUAAUUAGUCUGUGUGGUCACCAAAUGGUGUUGUAUGAACUGUGCAGCUUUCAACGGACGGUGUAUGAGUGUGUGUCUGUGUGUGUGUGUGUGUGUGUGUGUGUGUACGGGUUUGGAGGGUGUUGAUGGGGAAGUAGGGGUGGUGCCGGUCUCAGGAUGCUCACCUGUAAUUCUCCCUCCCCUGACGAGAGCCAGUGAAAGGAAUUUACCUAAACUGGAGAGGUAUAAAUGACACGGUUUGGUGCUUGCCCAACGCCUCCCCCUCUGUAGUUGUUCUGACGCAGUGAUAAUUGGGCAUCGGGGUGAGAGCUACAUAUGGUCCCUGCUACUCAGCCUCCCCCAUUCCAGGCUGAAAGCUCAUUAAAAAGCCUGCUUGUUAAUGAACUAUAGGGAUCACAGAGCAGCACUAUCAUUAGAUAGAGAAUGGGUGAUGGUGGUGGGGGGGAUUUGGGUAAGGGGCUGGUUUGAAGAUGCUGUCGUCGUGGUUUAGUCCCAUUACAGAGGAGACGGACAUUAUUGUAACUCGCACUAGCACUCUGUCCAGAUCUCUCCCACAAUCCUGGGAUUCUGGUUUAGUCACACCACUGUAACCUCCCAUCUUGACCUAUAAAUAAUUUAAUACCCAUUUCUGCCAGGCAUCGCAUCUCAUUCUAUUCUCUGAACACUUUAAAAUUCAGUUCGAUUGUUUUCAGAGUUUAAUUUCAUAUAUACUAGUGCAUGUCAAGCUCUCUUUUUCUCUCAUUGGCCAUUUUAUGAAGUAGGCCACUUUGUGGCCACUCCCUACUCCAUCCACCAAUGGAAAGAGACCACUACAAGAAGAAUACUGACAAGAUUAUUUUUUUGGUGUGUCAUUCUCAUCAGAGACAUGUUAGUGUAGCUGGAGCUGGAAGAAGGAGUGGAUCUGGUGCAGCAGCAUUGUUGGCAUUCAAAGUCACUGCUGUGUUGAAGAACAGUCCACCAAACAAAAACCAGUGGUGUUGCGGUUGCAAACUGACACUGAUGAAGCCCUAGAGGACAAUUAACACACACUGUGCAUGGUUUGUCUAAUAGAGUGGGCAGUAAGAACCAGAAGGUCACUCUGAUGGAACUACAGAGGUCCUGCACAAGUGGACAAAUCCUAAAUUUUCUAGCGAUGCCAGAGAAAAAAUGAAAGCUCCAGUGUGCACAGAAAUGGACUAAUCUAAAGAGUGGUAGCUAAGGGUCACAGGGAGCCUGGAGCCUAUCCCAGUGGACUUGGGGCACAAGGCAGGGGGACACCCUGGAUGUCAGGUGCCAACCCAUUGUAGGGCACAAUCUCACACACACUACAGACAAUUUGGAAAUCAAUCUUUGGACUGGCGGAGGAAACCCGAGUACUCAGAGCACAAGGAGAACAUGCAAAGUCUGCGCACACAGGGCGGAGGUGGGAUUCGAACCCCCAAUCCUGAAGGUGCGAGGCAAAUGUGCUAACCACUAAGCCAUGAUUAUUAUCCAUUUAAGUUUCUAAAGUAGCACAUUGUAUGUGUACUGUACCGUUAAUAAACAGUCAACUAAUCUUUUGCGAAUGUUCUGUGGCUCCAUACAAGUUUGAACUCUUUAGCAUGAAUGCCAAGUGCUACAUCAACAGAUCAUAACACAUAGGCAUCUUUGUAGAAAAAAAAAGUGAUCAGAACCUCACACAUGGUCGAAAGUUAACCUUUAGACAACAGAAACACACAGAGAAGACACGACUAUGAUCAUCCUUGAGUGGUCUAGACGGAGCUUGGUUUUUACCCAGUUGAAUGUUUCUGGAAAUACCUGGAGGUUCCUCUAAACAGACUGGAGGAAUAUCCUUGAAUUCAGGUGUGCCAAGCUCAUAGCAUCAGACUCAAAAAGACUGUAAUUACUGCCAAUACUGCUUUAACAAUGCAUUGAGUAAAGGGUCUGAAUAUUUGUUUCAAAUAUAUCUUUCACAGAUUCAGAAGGAAAAAAAAUGAAUGCAGUACAUUUCAGAGAAAAGAGUAAUGUAGGUGGAUACACCGUGCAUGUGUGUACAGUACCCUACAGCUGCAGAAGCACUUAACUUGCACUGCUGGUGAAGGACUUUUGUCUGAAACAUCUUGAUUCUCUGGUAACCUUGAGUACUUCAUUGAACUUUUACUACUUAUACCAUGUACUAACAAGGCUAUUUAAGGUCUUUGCUAUGGCUCUGUUGCUUUUCCUACUUGAGUUGUAUUUAGUAAUGUUGACCCUGAGUGUCUCAACAUGUUUUCCUGAUAAAUUUUUUUUUUUUAAACAAAAUGUCUUUAUUUAUGCUAAUGAAUGCACACUGUUUUGUUCAUAUUCAUAAAUACGAGUGUGUGUAAAUCUGAAGUGGAUAUAUGCACUGGAGGUAUAUUAAAUAACAAAAACAAA